GACGAACGCUGGCGGCGUGCUUAACACAUGCAAGUCGAACGGAAAGGCCCUGCUUUUGUGGGGUGCUCGAGUGGCGAACGGGUGAGUAACACGUGAGUAACCUGCCCUUGACUUUGGGAUAACUUCAGGAAACUGGGGCUAAUACCGGAUAGGAGCUCCUGCUGCAUGGUGGGGGUUGGAAAGUUUCGGCGGUUGGGGAUGGACUCGCGGCUUAUCAGCUUGUUGGUGGGGUAGUGGCUUACCAAGGCUUUGACGGGUAGCCGGCCUGAGAGGGUGACCGGCCACAUUGGGACUGAGAUACGGCACAGACUCCUACGGGAGACAGCAGUGGGGAAUAUUGCACAAUGGGCGGAAGCCUGAUGCAGCAACGCCGCGUGCGGGAUGACGGCCUUCGGGUUGUAAACCGCUUUCGCCUGUGACGAAGCGUGAGUGACGGUAAUGGGUAAAGAAGCACCGGCUAACUACGUG
rnacentral:rRNA from 1 species